AUUGAACGCUGGCGGCAUGCUUUACACAUGCAAGUCGAACGGUAACAGGCCUUCGGGUGCUGACGAGUGGCGAACGGGUGAGUAAUGCAUCGGAACGUACCCAGAGGUGGGGGAUAACGCAGCGAAAGCUGUGCUAAUACCGCAUGUGAUCUGAGGAUGAAAGCGGGGGACCGAGCAGCAAUGUUUGGCCUCGCGCCUUUGGAGCGGCCGAUGUCGGAUUAGCUAGUUGGUGGGGUAAAGGCCUACCAAGGCGACGAUCCGUAGCUGGUCUGAGAGGACGACCAGCCACACUGGGACUGAGACACGGCCCAGACUCCUACGGGAGGCAGCAGUGGGGAAUUUUGGACAAUGGGCGCAAGCCUGAUCCAGCAAUGCCGCGUGCGAGAAGAAGGCCUUCGGGUUGUAAACCGCUUUUGGCAGGAACGAAACGGUGUCCGCUAAUACCGGGCGCUAAUGACGGUACCUGCAGAAUAAGCACCGGCUAACUACGUG
rnacentral:rRNA from 1 species